GGUUAAGCGACUAAGCGUACACGGUGGAUGCCCUGGCAGUCAGAGGCGAUGAAGGACGUGUUAAUCUGCGAAAAGCGUCGGUAAGGUGAUAUGAACCGUUAUAGCCGGCGAUGUCCGAAUGGGGAAACCCAGUGCAAUUCGUUGCACUAUCGUUAACUGAAUACAUAGGUUAACGAGGCGAACCGGGGGAACUGAAACAUCUAAGUACCCCGAGGAAAAGAAAUCAACCGAGAUUCCCCCAGUAGCGGCGAGCGAACGGGGAGCAGCCCAGAGUCUGAAUCAGCUUGUGUGUUAGUGGAACGGUCUGGAAAGUCCGACGGUACAGGGUGAUAGUCCCGUACACCAAAAUGCACAGGCUGUGAACUCGAAGAGUAGGGCGGGACACGUGGUAUCCUGUCUGAAUAUGGGGGGACCAUCCUCCAAGGCUAAAUACUCCUGACUGACCGAUAGUGAACCAGUACCGUGAGGGAAAGGCGAAAAGAACCCCGGCGAGGGGAGUGAAAAAGAACCUGAAACCGUGUACGUACAAGCAGUGGGAGCACCUUCGGGUGUGACUGCGUACCUUUUGUAUAAUGGGUCAGCGACUUAUAUUCUGUAGCAAGGUUAACCGUAUAGGGGAGCCGCAGGGAAACCGAGUCUUAACUGGGCGUUAAGUUGCAGGGUAUAGACCCGAAACCCGGUGAUCUAGCCAUGGGCAGGUUGAAGGUUGGGUAACACUAACUGGAGGACCGAACCGACUAAUGUUGAAAAAUUAGCGGAUGACUUGUGGCUGGGGGUGAAAGGCCAAUCAAACCGGGAGAUAGCUGGUUCUCCCCGAAAGCUAUUUAGGUAGCGCCUCGUGAAUUCAUCUUCGGGGGUAGAGCACUGUUUCGGCUAGGGGGUCAUCCCGACUUACCAACCCGAUGCAAACUACGAAUACCGAAGAAUGUUAUCACGGGAGACACACGGCGGGUGCUAACGUCCGUCGUGAAGAGGGAAACAACCCAGACCGCCAGCUAAGGUCCCAAAGUCAUGGUUAAGUGGGAAACGAUGUGGGAAGGCACAGACAGCCAGGAUGUUGGCUUAGAAGCAGCCAUCAUUUAAAGAAAGCGUAAUAGCUCACUGGUCGAGUCGGCCUGCGCGGAAGAUGUAACGGGGCUAAACCAUGCACCGAAGCUGCGGCAGCGACACUAUGUGUUGUUGGGUAGGGGAGCGUUCUGUAAGCCUGCGAAGGUGUGCUGUGAGGCAUGCUGGAGGUAUCAGAAGUGCGAAUGCUGACAUAAGUAACGAUAAAGCGGGUGAAAAGCCCGCUCGCCGGAAGACCAAGGGUUCCUGUCCAACGUUAAUCGGGGCAGGGUGAGUCGACCCCUAAGGCGAGGCCGAAAGGCGUAGUCGAUGGGAAACAGGUUAAUAUUCCUGUACUUGGUGUUACUGCGAAGGGGGGACGGAGAAGGCUAUGUUAGCCGGGCGACGGUUGUCCCGGUUUAAGCAUGUAGGCUGGUUGUCCAGGCAAAUCCGGAUAAUCAAGGCUGAGGUGUGAUGACGAGGCACUACGGUGCUGAAGUAACAAAUGCCCUGCUUCCAGGAAAAGCCUCUAAGCAUCAGGUAACAUUAAAUCGUACCCCAAACCGACACAGGUGGUCAGGUAGAGAAUACCAAGGCGCUUGAGAGAACUCGGGUGAAGGAACUAGGCAAAAUGGUGCCGUAACUUCGGGAGAAGGCACGCUGGUGUGUAGGUGAAGUCCCUGCGGAUGGAGCUGAGACCAGUCGAAGAUACCAGCUGGCUGCAACUGUUUAUUAAAAACACAGCACUGUGCAAACACGAAAGUGGACGUAUACGGUGUGACGCCUGCCCGGUGCCGGAAGGUUAAUUGAUGGGGUUAUCCGUAAGGAGAAGCUCUUGAUCGAAGCCCCGGUAAACGGCGGCCGUAACUAUAACGGUCCUAAGGUAGCGAAAUUCCUUGUCGGGUAAGUUCCGACCUGCACGAAUGGCGUAAUGAUGGCCAGGCUGUCUCCACCCGAGACUCAGUGAAAUUGAACUCGCUGUGAAGAUGCAGUGUACCCGCGGCAAGACGGAAAGACCCCGUGAACCUUUACUAUAGCUUGACACUGAACAUUGAGCCUUGAUGUGUAGGAUAGGUGGGAGGCUUUGAAGCGUGGACGCCAGUCUGCGUGGAGCCAACCUUGAAAUACCACCCUUUAAUGUUUGAUGUUCUAACGUUGGCCCCUGACCGGGGUUGCGGACAGUGUCUGGUGGGUAGUUUGACUGGGGCGGUCUCCUCCCAAAGCGUAACGGAGGAGCACGAAGGUUAGCUAAUCCUGGUCGGACAUCAGGAGGUUAGUGCAAUGGCAUAAGCUAGCUUGACUGCGAGCGUGACGGCGCGAGCAGGUGCGAAAGCAGGUCAUAGUGAUCCGGUGGUUCUGAAUGGAAGGGCCAUCGCUCAACGGAUAAAAGGUACUCCGGGGAUAACAGGCUGAUACCGCCCAAGAGUUCAUAUCGACGGCGGUGUUUGGCACCUCGAUGUCGGCUCAUCACAUCCUGGGGCUGAAGUAGGUCCCAAGGGUAUGGCUGUUCGCCAUUUAAAGUGGUACGCGAGCUGGGUUUAGAACGUCGUGAGACAGUUCGGUCCCUAUCUGCCGUGGGCGCUGGAGAAUUGAGGGGGGCUGCUCCUAGUACGAGAGGACCGGAGUGGACGCAUCACUGGUGUUCGGGUUGUCAUGCCAAUGGCACUGCCCGGUAGCUAAAUGCGGAAGAGAUAAGUGCUGAAAGCAUCUAAGCACGAAACUUGCCCCGAGAUGAGUUCUCCCUGAGACUUUAAGUCUCCUGAAGGAACGUUAAAGACGAUGACGUUGAUAGGCCGGGUGUGUAAGCGCAGCGAUGCGUUGAGCUAACCGGUACUAAUGAACCGUGAGGCUUAACCUU
rnacentral:rRNA from 1 species